rnacentral:rRNA from 1 species
AGAAUCAACGCUGGCGGCGUGCCUAACACAUGCAAGUCGAACGAGAAAGUGGAGCAAUCCAUGAGUAAAGUGGCGACCGGGUGAGUAACACGUGACUAACCUACCCUCGAGUGGGGAAUAACUCCGGGAAACCGGAGCUAAUACCGCAUAACAUCUUCGGAACUCAGGUUCUGUUGAUCAAAGGAGCAAUUCGCUUGAGGAGGGAGUCGCGGCUGAUUAGCUAGUUGGCGGGGUAAUGGCCCACCAAGGCUUAGAUCGGUA